rnacentral:rRNA from 1 species
GAUGAACGCUGGCGGCGUGCCUAAUACAUGCAAGUCGAGCGAACAGACGAGGAGCUUGCUCCUCUGACGUUAGCGGCGGACGGGUGAGUAACACGUGGAUAACCUACCUAUAAGACUGGGAUAACUUCGGGAAACCGGAGCUAAUACCGGAUAAUAUAUUGAACCGCAUGGUUCAAUAGUGAAAGACGGUUUUGCUGUCACUUAUAGAUGGAUCCGCGCCGCAUUAGCUAGUUGGUAAGGUAACGGCUUACCAAGGCAACGAUGCGUAGCCGACCUGAGAGGGUGAUCGGCCACACUGGAACUGAGACACGGUCCAGACUCCUACGGGAGGCAGCAGUAGGGAAUAUUCGGCAAUGGGCGAAAGCGUGACGGAGCAACGCCGCGUGAGUGAUGAAGGUCUUCGGAUCGUAAAACUCUGUUAUUAGGGAAGAACAAAUGUGUAAGUAACUAUGCACGUCUUGACGGUACCUAAUCAGAAAGCCACGGCUAACUACGUG